GACGAACGCUGGCGGCGUGCUUAACACAUGCAAGUCGAACGGAAAGGCCCUGCUUUUGUGGGGUGCUCGAGUGGCGAACGGGUGAGUAACACGUGAGUAACCUGCCCUUGACUUUGGGAUAACUUCAGGAAACUGGGGCUAAUACCGGAUAGGAGCUCCUGCUGCAUGGUGGGGGUUGGAAAGUUUCGGCGGUUGGGGAUGGACUGGCGGCUUAUCAGCUUGUUGGUGGGGUAGUGGCUUACCAAGGCAUUGACGGGUAGCCGGCCUGGGAGGGUGACCGGCCACAUUGGGACUGAGAUACGGCCCAGACUCCUACGGGAGGCAGCAGUGGGGAAUAUUGCACAAUGGGCGGAAGCCUGAUGAAGCAACGCCGCGUGCGGGAUGACGGCCUGCGGGUUGUAAACCGCUUUCGCCUGUGACGAAGCGUGAGUGACGGUAAUGGGUAAAGAAGCACCGGCUAACUACGUG
rnacentral:rRNA from 1 species